rnacentral:rRNA from 1 species
CUCUUCGGAGGGAAGUUCGUGGAACGAGCGGCGGACGGGUGAGUAACACGUAGGCAACCUGCCUGUAAGACUGGGAUAACUCGCGGAAACGCGAGCUAAUACCGGAUAACACUUUCUAUCACCUGAUGGAAAGUUGAAAGGCGGCUUUUGCUGUCACUUACAGAUGGGCCUGCGGCGCAUUAGCUAGUUGGUGAGGUAACGGCUCACCAAGGCGACGAUGCGUAGCCGACCUGAGAGGGUGAUCGGCCACACUGGGACUGAGACACGGCCCAGACUCCUACGGGAGGCAGCAGUAGGGAAUCUUCCGCAAUGGACGAAAGUCUGACGGAGCAACGCCGCGUGAGUGAUGAAGGUUUUCGGAUCGUAAAACUCUGUUGUCAGGGAAGAACAAGUCGGGUAGUAACUGACCCGGCCUUGACGGUACCUGACCAGAAAGCCACGGCUAACUACGUGCCAGCAGCCGCGGUAAUACGUAGGUGGCAAGCGUUGUCCGGAAUUAUUGGGCGUAAAGCGCUCGCAGGCGGUUCUUUAAGUCUGAUGUGAAAUCUUGCGGCUCAACCGCAAACGUGCAUUGGAAACUGGAGGACUUGAGUGCAGAAGAGGAGAGUGGAAUUCCACGUGUAGCGGUGAAAUGCGUAGAGAUGUGGAGGAACAC